rnacentral:RNase_P_RNA from 1 species
GGAGUCGGCCAGGCAACCGCGAUAUCACUUUUUGGUGAUAUGGAGGAAAGUCCGGGCUCCACAGGGCAGGGUGCCAGGUAAUACCUGGGCGGCGUAAGCCGAUGGAAAGUGCAGCAGAGAGUAGACCGCCGAUGGCGCGCAAGCGCACAGGUAAGGGUGAAAGGGUGCGGUAAGAGCGCACCGCGUGGGCGGGUAACCGUCGCGGCUAGGUAAACCCCACCCGGAGCAAGGCCAAAUAGGGGCGCGUUCGCUGUGGCCCACAGUGCGCCCGGGUAGGCUGCUUGAGGAAUCUGGUGACAGAUCUCCCAGAUGAAUGGUUGUCCACGACAGAACCCGGCUUAUCGGCCGACUCUUUUU